GCUAAUUAGCUCAAUCCCUUUUGAGUACACCAGUAGACAAGUAACGAUUGAACUGAAGGAAUGGGACUCUUUGGGAAUAAUGGAGAAGAAAAGCUAGAACUUCACUCAGUCAAGUAGUGACCAGAGCAAUGAGAGACAAAGUUCUUAACACAGAAUGGAUAGCCCUUGCACUUUUUACUAUGAAGAAAGAGGGAGAUAGGACGGAGAUUUUUGAUUUAUUUGCUUGACAGUGAAGAAGCUUGACAC